UGGGGAAUUUUGGACAAUGGGCGAAAGCCUGAUCCAGCAAUGCCGCGUGUGUGAAGAAGGCCUUCGGGUUGUAAAGCACUUUUGUCCGGAAAGAAAUCCUUGGCUCUAAUACAGUCGGGGGAUGACGGUACCGGAAGAAUAAGCACCGGCUAACUACGUGCCAGCAGCCGCGGUAAUACGUAGGGUGCAAGCGUUAAUCGGAAUUACUGGGCGUAAAGCGUGCGCAGGCGGUUUGCUAAGACCGAUGUGAAAUCCCCGGGCUCAACCUGGGAACUGCAUUGGUGACUGGCAGGCUAGAGUAUGGCAGAGGGGGUAGAAUUCCACGUGUAGCAGUGAAAUGCGUAGAGAUGUGGAGGAAUACCGAUGGCGAAGGANCCCCCUGGGCCAAAUACUGACGCUCAUGCACGAAAGCGUGGGGAGCAAACAGGAUUAGAUACCCUGGUAGUCCACGCCCUAAACGAUGUCAACUAGUUGUUGGGGAUUCAUUUCCUUAGUAACGUAGCUAACGCGUGAAGUUGACCGCCUGGGGAGUACGGUCGCAAGAUUAAAACUCAAAGGAAUUGACGGGUCAUAGCUGUUUCCU
rnacentral:rRNA from 1 species